rnacentral:rRNA from 2 species
GCCUGAGAAACGGCUACCACAUCCAAGGAAGGCAGCAGGCACGCAAAUUACCCAAUCCCAGCUCUGGGAGGUAGUGACGAAAAAUAACAAUGCGGGACUCUUCCGAGUCUGCGUAAUUGGAAUGAGCACACUUUAAAUCCUUUAGCAACAACCAAUUGGAGGGCAAGUCUGGUGCCAGCAGCCGCGGUAAUUCCAGCUCCAAUAGCGUAUAUUAAAGUUGUUGCGGUUAAAAAGCUCGUAGUUCGAGUUCAGUUCCGGACUGGCUGGGGAGGUCACCGCCCGGUGCUUCCCCGUCAGGCUCCGAACAGCUUUUAUGACUAAAAGCCAAGCCGGUUUCGCCGGGGUGCUCUUCACCGAGUGUCCCGCGCGGCCGGCCAGUUUACCUUGAAUAAAUGAGAGUGCUCAAAGCAGGCUACUCUUAAAAAUAAAGCCCGAAUGUUACCUGCAUGGAAUGAUGGAAGAUGAACUCGGUUCCAUUUUAUUGGCUCUGGGAAUCCGAGUUAAUGAUAAACAGGGACUGUCGGGGGCAUCCGUACUACGACGCGAGAGGUGAAAUUCAGUGACCGUCGUAGGACGAACAACAGCGAAAGCAUUUGCCAAGAAUGUCUUCGUUGAUCAAGAACGAAAGUUAGAGGAUCGAAGGCGAUCAGAUACCGCCCUAGUUCUAACCCUAAACGAUGCUGACUAGCAAUCCGCCGUCGUUAUUCCCAUGACGUGGCGGGACGCCCCCGGGAAACCUCAAGUCUUUGAGUUCCGGGGGUAGUAUGGUUGCAAAACUGAAACUUAAAGGAAUUGACGGAAGGGCACCACCAGGAGUGGAGCCUGCGGCUUAAUUUGACUCAACACGGGAAACCUCACCAGGCCCGGACACCAGAAGGAUUGACAGAUUAAGAGCUCUUUCUCGAUUUGGUGGGUGGUGGUGCAUGGCCGUUCUUAGUUGGUGGAGUGAUUUGUCUGGUUAAUUCCGGUAACGAACGAGACUCUGGCCUACUAAAUAGUCGACGUGGGUUUUGGUGCAUGGGCCCCGUUCGACAAUGUCUUCUUAGAGGGAUGAGCAGCGAGUAUAGCUGCAGGAGAUUGAGCAAUAACAGGUCUGUGAUGCCCUUAGAUGUCCUGGGCCGCACGCGCGCUACACUGAAUGGGUUAGCGGGUUCUCCUUCUCCGAGAGGAGCGGGAAAUCGCGUGAAAACCAUUCGUGAUAGGGAUUGGGGCUUGCAAUUGUUUCCCAUGAACGAGGAAUUCCCAGUAAGCGCAAGUCAUCAGCUUGCGUUGAUUAAGUCCCUGCCCUUUGUACACACCGCCCGUCGCUACUACCGAUUGAAUGAUUUAGUGAGGCCUUCGGACUGGCGGUCUUGGACUGGGCUCCGCUCGCUACUACUCCAGCAAUGGGGGGCGGCGGACUCGCCAUGACGAGCCGGAAAGAUGUCCAAACUUGAUCAUUUAGAGGAAGUAAAAGUCGUAACAAGGUUUCC